rnacentral:rRNA from 1 species
GACGAACGCUGGCGGCGUGCUUAACACAUGCAAGUCGAACGGAAAGGCCCUGCUUUUGCUGGUUGCUCGAGUGCCGAACGGGUGAGUAACACGCGAGUAACCUGCCCCUGUCUUUGGGGUAACUUCUGGAAACUGGGGCUAAUACCGGAUAGGAUCUCUUGCUGCACGGUGGGGGUUGGAAAGUUUCGGCGGUUGGGGCUGGAUUCGCGGGUUAUCAGCUUGUUGGUGGGGUAGUGGCUUACCAAGGGUUCGACGGGUAGCCGGCCUGGGAGGGGAGCCGGCGACCUGAGGACUGAGAGAGGGCCCAGACUCGUACGGGAGGCAGCGGGGGAGAGUAUUACACAGUAAGCGGAAGCGUGAGGCAGCAGCGCCGCGAGCGGAAUGACGGCCUUCGAGUUGUGAACCGCUGUCGCCUGAGACGAGGCGUGAGUGACGGUAAUGAGUAAAAAAGCACCGGCUAACUACGUG